rnacentral:rRNA from 1 species
AUUGAACGCUGGCGGCAGGCCUAACACAUGCAAGUCGAGCGGUAGAGAGAAGCUUGCUUCUCUUGAGAGCGGCGGACGGGUGAGUAAUGCCUAGGAAUCUGCCUGGUAGUGGGGGAUAACGUUCGGAAACGGACGCGUAAUACCGCAUACGUCCUACGGGAGAAAGCAGGGGACCUUCGGGCCUUGCGCUAUCAGAUGAGCCUAGGUCGGAUUAGCUAGUUGGUGAGGUAAUGGCUCACCAAGGCGACGAUCCGUAACUGGUCUGAGAGGAUGAUCAGUCACACUGGAACUGAGACACGGUCCAGACUCCUACGGGAGGCAGCAGUGGGGAAUAUUGGACAAUGGGCGAAAGCCUGAUCCAGCCAUGCCGCGUGUGUGAAGAAGGUCUUCGGAUUGUAAAGCACUUUAAGUUGGGAGGAAGGGCAGUUACCUAAUACGUGAUUGUUUUUGACGUUACCGACAGAAUAAGCACCGGCUAACUCUGUG